GCAUAUUUUUGCUGUGGGAGUAUGGGUGGUGGCCUUUUUUUUUUUUUUUUUUAAAGACAAGGGCUCACUUUAAAGCUCUGGCUGGCCUGGAACUCAGAAAGAUCUGCCUGCCUCUGCCUCCUGAGUUUUUGGAUUGAUUUUUAUUAUUAUUUGGGUGUGUGGUGUGUGAGCAUGGACACGCGUGUGAAGAUCAGAGGACAACUUGCCAGAGGUGGUCCUCUUUCAUUAUGUGGGUUCCAAGGAAUCGAACUAGGGCCGUAUGUGAGGCUUGCAUAACCAGUGUCUUAACCGCCUCAGCAGCUCCGAAUCGUGUAUAUAUAAAAGCCAGGCUUUUGGAUCUCUUGUUUGUUUAUAUAUUUAUGGAAGAAGAGUUUCUCUGUGUAGCCCUGGCUGGCCUGGAACUCACAGAGAUCCCUUCCCUCACCCCCACCCCCCAGCCCCACCCCCGCCUCUGCCUUUAGAGUACUUGGCUUAAAAGUACCAAGAGAUCUGCCUGCCUCUGCCUCUCAGAAUGCUGGGAUUAAAGGUGUUUCGCCAGCACAGUUGGGUUUGAGAGAGGCUCACAUGACCCAGGCUACCCUCGGACUCACUUUGUAGUGAAGGGUGACUCUAAACAACCGAUCUUCUCUCCUGAGUGCUGGGAUUAUAGGCAUGUUCCACCAUGCUCAGAAAAUACUGCCUUUCCAAUUGAGUGCUGGUGUUCAAAUAUGGGCGUGUGUUCCUGGAGCGUUGCAGAUGUUACCUUCUGAAAACUCUAAACUCUGGCCGUGCUGGGCCAUGAUCUGUUGCGACAACAGCCAGCUGAAGAGUGACCUCCUUUGCCCAUGGCAUCUGUAUGAUCUGCUUGGUGAUGGAGUGCGGGGUCCCGGCUGCUCUGAAGGCAGCAGGGGACUUGAAACUCUGUCCUCUGUAGUGUGGCCCGAGAGCUGGGUGGUUAAGGUUGAGCCUUGCUUAUAGCUGUGGCCAUAAGCCUUGGCCAGCCUCUAAACGGGGUGGGGAGUAGGUCUGUGCUAAAAGGUAGCACUGCUCAUUCUCAGCUGUGUAAUGCAGGUCUCAGUUUCCACAUCUGUCAAGUGGGGUGUUACAGUUGUGACUCAGGGUGCAUCCUGGGGCAUGGGUACACCUGUGAAGUGCCUGAAUCAGGAGCUUGCCAGCCAUGUGACCAUCAUAUGAAGUGGGGCUACUUGCCCCGUGCCUCAGCCGCCACUCACCGAUGAACCAGAGCGACAUGCCGUGCCUCAGACCGUUCGAGAGUCCAGAAACCUCUCUACGAACCUUGGUUUCCACAUGUCCUUGUGGGGGAGGAUUGGUUGACUCAUUAUCCCCACCGUGGCUAGGAGAACUUGUCUGAACCCCAAAGGCUGGCUCCCAGGCAGGACACAGUGGGGGUGGGGAUGUUGUAAGGGGAACUGUCCCGGGAAGGUGACCUUGCAGGCAAGCCCAGGUAUCUCUGAGUCAAGGAGCCAGAAUGUCUGGCUUCCACACCAGCACCAGUUCUGAGAGCUACAUGUCAGUGAGAGAGUGCCUAAAGCUCUCUCUGCCCGUUUCCCCAGCUGUAAGGUGGGGAUGGCUAUAUAUUUCCUUACCUGGUAGCUAUAAACUUCAGAUUACUGGGCACUGGCCAUUCUGGUCCCAGGUCAGCACUCCUAGGAAGGAUAAGAAUCAGAGUCAUGGGACAGGAUGACGAAAGAGAUGUAUUCUCGUUAUCCCAGCUACUCAGAAAGCUGAGGCAGGGGGAUUACUUGAGUCUAGUCAUUUGAGAAGUAGCCUGGGCAACACAGCUGAGGCAACCCCCAAGACGCAAGAGCAAUAGGGCAGGGCAGAAUGGACUUUGUCCAAGAUAACCCACUAGGGAGCUAGCCUGUGACCCUACCCUGAGACACCCACAUGUCAGCCUUAAAGUCAGGUCCUCAUUGGGUCACCUAGGACUUUG
rnacentral:lncRNA from 1 species